GAUGAACGCUGGCGGCGUGCCUAAUACAUGCAAGUCGAGCGAACAGACGAGGAGCUUGCUCCUUCGACGUUAGCGGCGGACGGGUGAGUAACACGUAGGUAACCUACCUAUAAGACUGGGAUAACUUCGGGAAACCGGAGCUAAUACCGGAUAAUAUUUCGAACCGCAUGGUUCGAUAGUGAAAGAUGGCUUUGCUAUCACUUAUAGAUGGACCUGCGCCGUAUUAGCUAGUUGGUAAGGUAACGGCUUACCAAGGCAACGAUACGUAGCCGACCUGAGAGGGUGAUCGGCCACACUGGAACUGAGACACGGUCCAGACUCCUACGGGAGGCAGAAGUAGGGAAUCUUCCGCAAUGGGCGAAAGCCUGACGGAGCAACGCCGCGUGAGUGAUGAAGGUCUUCGGACCGUAAAACUCUGUUAUUAGGGAAGAACAAACGUGUAAGUAACUGUGCACGUCUUGACGGUACCUAAUCAGAAAGCCACGGCUAACUACGUG
rnacentral:rRNA from 1 species